GAGAUGCCCUGCAAAGGGAAACAUGCUCCACACUAGCUAAUGAAGCCCCUCCUUUAAUGCUUUUAUCUUCCAGAUAUUUGGGUUCUAGGUCUGGAUCCUGGUGGCCACCACCCGAGUAGCAAACCCACUGUUGCAAGGAUGGGUGAUGUAUGUCUCACUCACCUCGUUUCUCACCUCCCUGAGGUUCCUGUUGUCUUCCUUGUUUGGAUUUUACAAAAGAUUUGAAUCCUGGAGAGUUCUGCAGGUGAUGAGCUCCCUUGCUCCAGAGCCUCUCUCUCCCUGCAUCAGUCAUCUCCAGUGCUGCAUGUGCCUCUGUCCAAGCCUGAUUCCUGACACUGUGCCUACCCAUCACCCGCCAUCGCUUCCUGGGCUGGGAGAAGGGUGUGAUGUUUCCAUGGUGAUGCUGGACCACCCCCGUGCAGAAGCUUAAUCACCAUGAAAUUUUACUGAUUCAGUGGCCCAGGGCUCUGUGUAUAGGAGUAAAAUGGGAUUGUAAACCCCUCUGCCUCCCAUGUAUGUUUGUGUUCUCAGAGAAAGAAUGUUGGAAUUAGUAGCAAAAUAUCGGGUGAGUCAAGGCCCCACGUAGAUGCCUCUUCUGUUCUAACUUACUUGCCAGCAGGGUCCAGGAAACACACUGAUUUCUGAGUCCAUAUCUAGGAUCUCCAUCCCCUGAAGGGCUACACAUCCAGCUCACUGGUUCCAACCCACUUUACUGAGUCCCACUGACCAGAGUCCACCCUCAUUCCACCCCAGUUUCUGUGCCUUGGGUCACACCUGUGGGAGAUUCUAGCUAGGUGGAGUAUCUCUGGCUUGUCUCCUCCCUGCCCUGCCUCACUUGACACAGCCCCCGAGGAACUCCACCCUGCUCCCCAGUCAUCUCCUCCCAGCCUCAUUCCUGCCUGGCCAUCCUCAUCCCUGCUCAGCACAAUGACAAUGCGGCUUCCCUUGCUGGGUCACAGCCACUCCUCAGAGGCAUCACGUCCUCAUCUGACAGAUGAGGAAACAGCCCAGAUUCCACAUCCAGAACACACUGCAGUCAACACUUAGAUCAAGGCUUCUUAAAUGCCAGCCUCUGUAUUUCCCCACCUUUUCUUCCUCAUCUCAGCCCUUAGCCAUAAGAAGUUUUCAAAGGACAGUUCAUCAGAAAUGCAAAACAUCAUCCCAGGAACAUUAACUGUCCCGGGGCAUUCUGUCUUCUCACUUUCUCAUUAUGUGAGAUUUGAUAAAUUAAAUGUGCGGUUUUAAGUGUCUGAAACUUCUGUGACAGUCAGUGACCCUGACACCUAUUCCUGCAUUCUCCUUUGCUAGCACACUCCUGAGAUUGUACUGUACCUGGCCUCCCUUGCAGCCAGGGCUCAAUUCUAGCCACUGAGAGAGAAACUCAGGUCUGCUCCAGGGCUGGGGUUGCUUUCCUGAUACCGUGGUCAGAU
rnacentral:lncRNA from 1 species